CAGCGCCAGAGAGGAGGAGUGUAAACCAGCCAAACAGAAGACAUCUCGAAACUUAUUUCCUCCUCUGAGAAAUGAGGUGUCUCUUGUUAUUCAAGAUAGAUCCCAAAGGCUCCAGCUGAAGUACCAAGGCUAACACAAGGAACAGUACAGAGAAAGGAGUAUCAGACAGUGAUGGGGAAGACUGUGAGUCGGAGUGACAAGAAUAAAGAGAAGCCUUCAUUUCAGAUACUUUUAUACACAGGCAGAUGAAUUACCUCAGUGUCUAUGACCUUCACAGAGGUUUUACUUCCGGAGUAUCCUAGACCAGCCCUGCCUCUUCCAUUGUGACACCAAAGAAGAUUUGAUUGGGACUUGGAAACUAAAUAAACAGGGAUUAAAGUGAGAAAAGUAGAGAAGACCCUGAUGCUGGGAAAGACUGAAGGCAAAAGGAGAAGAGGGCCAGGAGAAGAUGAGACGGUUGGAUAGCAUCACC